rnacentral:rRNA from 1 species
CUACGGGAGGCUCCAGUGGGGAAUUUUGGACAAUGGGGGAAACCCUGAUCCAGCCAUUCCGCGUGAGGGAAGAAGGCCUUCGGGUUGUAAACCUCUUUCGGCAGGAACGAAACGGUGAAGGCUAAUAAUCUUCAUCAAUGACGGUACCUGAAGAAGGAGCACCGGCUAACUACGUGCCAGCAGCCGCGGUAAUACGUAGGGUGCGAGCGUUAAUCGGAAUUACUGGGCGUAAAGCGUGCGCAGGCGGUUGUGUAAGACAGGUGUGAAAUCCCCGGGCUUAACCUGGGAACUGCGCUUGUGACUGCACGACUCGAGUGUGGCAGAGGGGGGUGGAAUUCCACGUGUAGCAGUGAAAUGCGUAGAGAUGUGGAGGAACACCGAUGGCGAAGGCAGCCCCCUGGGUCAACACUGACGCUCAUGCACGAAAGCGUGGGUAGCAAACAGGAUUAGAUACCCCAGUAGUC